rnacentral:misc_RNA from 1 species
AAAAAAUAGAGAUUAAAAAGCAAAAGAAAACCUAAAGCCACACAUUAAACAGCUGGUGGGCAAGGGAACAUAACCAAAAACAGAGCACCUCAAACUCUAAGAGCAGCAGAACCUAAGCUACAAAAACUGGUAAGGACCAAAGCUGACAAAACAAUAACUAAAACAUAGCAAACAACCAUUGCAAGCAACAUCGAAAAAAAACACAAG